rnacentral:ribozyme from 13 species
AACUUACAACUUGAAGCAAAAGAGAGAAAAAUGACAAAAAAGACCGCUUUUUGGUUGUUUUUUUUUUUUUUUUUUGCCCUUUCACUUUCUGUUCUUCACUGCCGGUUCCUUCGAUUCCAUUUCCACAAAAAGACAGGCAAGGA